rnacentral:misc_RNA from 1 species
AGGUGCAAAUAAGAUGGAAGAAUUGUGUCCGCCGAAUCCAAAAGAGUUUGACAGUGCCACCUUUAUGUCCAUCCGUUCUUUUUUGGCACCAACAAGCACAUGCUUGUCCACGGCUUUGUCCGGAUUUUCAAGAUUGAUGUUGGGAUGGAUCCAUCCUGUUUGUAUUGCCUUAACUGUUGCUACAGCUUCAACUGCACCAGCAGCUCCCAGUAGGUGACCAAUCAUGGAUUUU